rnacentral:rRNA from 1 species
AUACGGAGGGUGCAAGCGUUAUCGGGAAUCAUUGGGUUUAAAGGGUCCGCAGGCGGUCAAUUAAGUCAGAGGAGAAAUCCCGUCGCUCAACGACGGAACUGCCUUUGAUACUGGUUGACUUGAGUUAUACGGAAGUAGAUAGAAUGUGUAGUGUAGCGGUGAAAUGCAUAGAUAUUACACAGAAUACCGAUUGCGAAGGCAGUCUACUACGUAUAUACUGACGCUCAUGGACGAAAGCGUGGGGAGCGAACAGGAUUAGAAACCCCAGUAGUCC